rnacentral:misc_RNA from 1 species
GCACCAUCUUCACGUCCCCGGCCAUGAGAAAAUGUAGGAACUUGUUUGUUUGGAGUAAAAGUCUGAUGAGUAGGUUCAGACCUUCCUCGGCCGUGAGACGUAGAUCUCCAUGGCCGAUAGUGGUCACCCUCUCUAUCAUCCUUUCCAUGAUAGGCAAGACCUGGCGACCCCUUCUCAAGAUGCAUUUCAGCAUCUUUGCUAGGGUUGCUCCAUUUCUCACGCACAGCAUCUGCCUCCUUCUCAUCAGGUCCCCAGCGCGUGUUCCAUUUGCUCUCUCGACGCUGAUCGUGAUUGCUAUCCCUAUUUCCAGAAUCGGUCCAUCUUUCACCUGGACCACGUCGUACUUCUCCAUGAUGUCUGCCAGAGGAGUCCGACCAGCGCUCCACCUUGCGGCCAUCACCAAUCUCCUUAUCUCCCUCCCUCCAGCGAUCCCUUCGAACAGCAGAAUUGGUGUCCCUUUCUUCAUCACGCCAGCGAUCCCGUCGACCUGAUUCCAUAUCGAGCACAGAUGGCCUAAACACAUCUUUCUUCUUUUGAUUAUCAUGCAUAUCUUCACUCAUCCCAGGAAAUUUUGCUAACUCUGAACGAAUAGGAUACCCCGGAUGUGCAUUGAGAUGGUUGUCCCCGGUGACCAUCCCAGCCUUACUUUCCCCUGGUUUUGGCAGGAGCCACUGCGGUGAAAGCGGAAUGGAAUCGUUGGGUCCUUGCACAUCUUUGGAGAUCUGACUAUGGCGAGAAUCAAAUUGCGUUUUGUCACCCAUGGCUGAUGAUCGGAAGGAGAAAAAGUGAAUAAGCGCUCAAAGAAAACCCUAAUUUAU